GAUUCAUAAGUUAAUUCUAUAAUUUUUCAUAUUAUCACCUUCAAUUGUCUUAUCUUUAUCUAGCAAUGAACCAAAGAGUCAAGAAAAAGGAUUUAUGCAGCCAUCUCAAAUUUAUUGUGAACACGACUUAGUUUUUUUAUUCCUUAGAUUAGUUUCAACAAAUUCUCCUAUUCGUAUGCGCUAUUUGUCUUUACAUUAAAGAAUACUGUAGUAUGCGUCUUACAGAAAGUGGGGUAUGCAAAAAAUGCCUCUGUCACAAAGUUGGCCUCCUAAGUUACAAGCUCAUUUACUGGAUGAUGGGAGUUGUAGGAAAAUACUUGUGGAUAAGUAUUUCUGAGGAAGUUUUGUUUCCUGGUUUCCAUUAUAUUUUAACUAAUUCACAUUGUAUUUUAUGGAUGUUGAUGGUUAGAAAUCAUUUUCAAGAGGCAGCCUUGAGAUCAAUGCCAGAUAUAGUUGUAGAAACUCCAGGACAUAUGAUAGAUCAUCUACGCAAUUCUUUAUCAGCACAUCUGGAUGAACUUGCUGUUCUGAUACUUGAUAAAGCUGAUCGGCUUUUAGCACUGAAAUUCAUGAAUUGGUAUGUGUUUGAACAUCUUUUCUUUUUCUAUUAAGAGGAGUUAGUACUGUCGUUUCUUAUUGUAGAUAGGGGAACAAAUGCAACAAGUCUUUAUUUUGGCUUAAAAUUUUCAAUUAUAACGUAGAGGAAAGGAAUUUCGGUUUCUUAGAUUUUUGUUUGGAACUUUCAGCAUUUUCAUUAUUUAAGAUAUUAAGAGGCAAAUGAGCGCAUUAAGCACUUCCAAAGAGAAGAAAAUGGAAAUUUCAUUAUACUAUUUGGAAAGAAAAAGGAGAUUGUACCAUGACACACUUUUUUCUCAUCACUGUUUUAUGCAUAAUUUCUACCACAUUUGGAAAAUGAACUUCCUAGAGUUGAUAUCUAAAUAUGUUAUUUUCCAUUAUGUAAAUUCGUUCAUUGAGUUCCAUCGGAAAAUUAAAGAGUGAUGUUGAUAAGUGACAGAAAAGCAAAUUUAACAAUGAACUUCCAGUCACUUAAACUUUUGGACUCCAGCUUUUCUCUAUACUCAUUUUGUGCUGGGGUUCACUAAUUCUGUUAGACUUAAUCGGAUUCACUCUCUUUGGCGUGCCAGAUAUUAACUUACAGAAUUGCUUAUGCACAUGAAAGGAAUUUUUCCUGCUUAUACAGCUAAAUAUUAAGCUAUGGCAGCUGAUGCUACCAUAUUCCCUGCUACUAUUUCAUUUGUAUAAUGUGAAUUGGUUGAAAUUUUGAGAAGCAGCUGUCUAUGAGUUAGUAAAGAAGCUGAAGCCAGGUUUCUCUGUGCUACAGAUGGCUUAAUGUCAUAGCUUUUAUCGUUACAACUGAGGUAUCAAGGAGAAAGGAAGAAAAUUCCUAAUUAUAUGGGGUUCAUUGUCUCUUUGGGUUAGUCUAGGAUCUUGAGAGUAAAAAACUCAGUGUACCCUACAAAAUGCAGUAAAGGGCAUUUGACUGAAAUCUGUAUAGAAGGAUAAGAAAUAUUUGUAUCUGUUGAAGACUAUAAAAGUGCAAGAAAAAAUAAAAUUGUUUUUAUGUCCUGAGAAUUAGAAAGUUCAAUUAGCAAAGGUCAGCAAACUGUCCUGGCUGUAGCUGCUUUUGGCAUUUGAAAUUUCUUGAAUGUCAAGGAGGUCUCUUAAGUCAUACCCUUUCUUGUUUCUCUUGUUUACAAACUGUAAUAUUUUUAGCAUUUUUAAACUUUGUUAAUUCCUUUGAUGAUUCAAACUCAUUCUUUAAACUAGUUGAUUAUUCUCUUUUGUUUUGAUUAAGUUGUGUCCAAAACGAAGGCAGACUGCUGUUUUCUGAAACUAUGACUAAUGAAGUUGCUGAGCUCGUCAAGCUAUCUUUGAACAAACCCUUGCAUCUCUCGGCCGAUCCAUCUGUGAAGCGACCAGCAACUUUGACUGGAGUAAGUUAUAUCUGUAGAUCCCUUUGCUGUUGGAUCAGUAAAUAUAUUAUGUUACAUGAUCUUUUGUAGACCCACAAAAAUUGUGCUCAUAUUAGCAUGUACAUUAUGUAGGCAGGUUUGUUCGAUGAAGACGGAUGCAUGUAGGAAAUAUUCUUCUUGCAUUAUGCCCCAAAACCUUUGCAUCCAAAGUGAUUAUUUUCAGGUUAUACCAAGCUCUUAAACAUAAAUAUAAUUUUCAUCAUGGCUAUUAUUAUGUCUAGAUAGGGCUCUUACUUAUCAAAAGGUCACUGAUGAAAAGUAGUCUGAUUGGAUGCAUAGUUACAUUACAUUUUCAUUCUAGAGUUAGUUCGAAUGUUGACAUCUGCGAAAAUUACAGAAUUAUGAUGUGGGAGUUUUAAGUGCUGUGGAAGCCUUGUGCUUAACGGGGCAAGUUUGUCUAAACCUGCAUUGUGGCUCCUAGGCAAGGGUGCCCUGACUUUGUUUAGCUUGGGCCUGCCCAAAUGGGUCUCUUCAUUUUUUUUGUCCCUUCAAAAAAGUGAACCAAUCAAAAUUUAGAAACUGUUUAACGAGCCUCUUGGAUGUAUUGCACCUUGCAUUUUUUGCACAGCCUGUUCCAGGAGAAAAGUUCUUGCCGUGCCUGGUCCAUAGGCAGUCUGUGUUGAGUUUGUUUUAUACUUCCAUGAAUGUCACAGGACUUGCAAUUUCUCAACAGCCUGGCCCUGGAGAAAAGUUCAGGCACCUGAAGAAGCUCCCAUUUACAUAAGCGAUGUAGUAGAGCUAGAAGAUGGAGAGAGAGAGAGAGAGAGACCAAAAUUAAUAUGGCGUGUUUGGUUACUAAGUGUUUGAUUUCCUUGGUACAUGUAGCAAUGGAUUCUAAGAACUGGAGAAAAAAGCCUUCAUGUAGCAGACUUAAAAUUUAUGGAGAAUAAAAUUUAGUAACAUGCACUUGUACGGUAAUGAAAAAAUAAUUAUAAGGCUUUCUUAUUUCUUGCAUAUGUACAAUAUCUUCACUGAUCUCAACUUUCUCUGAGUUUCUUCCUUUUUAAAUAAAUUGGUCUAAACUGCUCGAGCCAAUGCUAUUUUAUGUUUCUAUUGGCAGUAGAACGAAACAGGCAGCACAUAGGUUGAAAAUUAUAUUUGUUUUACUGGUUUAAAAGCGGCUGAACUUCAUGGAAAUCUAACCCAGGCCCAGUGUCUAGAUGUAAGUCCUCAGCAUCAACGUUUUCAACUACAGAAUUCUGUUCUUUUUGCCAAGCGUGCUUUCUUAUUCACUUUCUGUUGCAUAGGCCUUGAAACUUUUCAGGAAGCAGGAAAUAGAUAUUCUUGACUGCGACAGAUGCUGCUGCUUGUGUAAGAAGAAAUAAUCUCAGUUUGUUUUGCUUAGUUAAUGAUGAUAGAGUUUUUAUGUUUCAUUUGAUCUUUCCAACUGAAUAAUUCAACGCUCCUAUUUCCACUUCCAUAUCUCCAGGAAUCAUGCGACAUUGAUAUAGUUGUUGAAUUCUGUACAUUAGUUUGACUUGCUGGAUGAUUAAUAACUCUUAUCAACGUUGUCUUUGUUUUCAUAUAAUGAUGCAUGUGUAUUUGAAACAGCUUUUGCAAUUGGUUUAAUAGGAAUCUCAGGAAAAACUAAAUGGUUCUGGAAGUGAGGUGAUUAGUGCAGAACAAGCAGAAGGAAAAGAGAAAGCAACAGCGAGAGGUGAUUCUCAUCUUGAAUUUAUACUAGUGUACAAAUUGAUUGCCAAAUAUAUCAAUAUGAAGACGAUUGUUUGGACAGAAAAAUUUGCCUAGGAAGCGAAGGAGGAAAUUGGAAGCUGCUAGAGAGAUUCUAGAAGAGGAAAAUGAUGCAUGUGUAUUUCCGUUUUCUUUUCUUUUUUUUAUUCUUUU
rnacentral:lncRNA from 1 species